rnacentral:pre_miRNA from 9 species
UCUCUAUAGCGUAAAAGUUAAGUCAAAUUUGUAUAGAGCAUUUGCCUAUGUUUGCCGCUAGGGGCACUGUUCCAGCUACAUACAAAUUUCAGGUAACUUUUACGUUAUCGA